rnacentral:tRNA from 1 species
GCCUGGGUGGCUCAGUCAGUUAAGCAUCCGACUUAAGCUCAGGUCAUGAUCUCACAGCUCGUGGGUUCAAGCCCCACGUCAGGCA